CCGGUCGCCUGGUGCGCGACGCCCUGGCCAGCGCACGCAAGCAACUCAGGGCCGAGGCCCACCUCGCGGCGCGUCUGGUGGCUGCCGCCCUGACCGCAGCCAUCGGACCUCCGCAGGCUUCCCCGAGCGAACCGGCCAAGGCGGCGGAGACGACGUCGUCGCGCAGGCAUCAGAGGACGUCUGCGCCGCCGCCGUGGAGCUUGUUGCCAGCCUGCUGCGCGGUCGUCUAGACAGGACCAACGUGUUGGCCUCCCGUUUCGACCCCGGAUUCGCCACUCUUUCUGACGCUGUGCCUUCUCCUCAAAGCUCCCAGGGCCAGCACCCACCUCCGGCCACCCGCACUUUAGCCGAGCACACACAACCGAGCAGACGGCGGCAGCUGGACCCAUGGUGCACCACGCAUGGAAACACAAGUCAACAUGAUCGAGCUGUGGUCAAGAAAACUGUGCGACAGCGAACACCACCUGGCGGUGUCACUAUCGUGGUGCAGUGAACAUGCAAGAAAUAAACAAUGUUCGGCGCCAACUUUUCAACGUGCAGAAGAAGCGUAUCCCCGUUUGACAAAUCUGUUCUGUGGCCUACACGGUAGAGGAAGAACCAGAAACAUUAUCGUAUAUCUGUACGGAGCUACAAGUAAAUUCAUCGGCUAACUCAAAAUUAAACAUUUGGGCGGUCAAUAAAUGUUGGGCGGGAUCCAGGAGCAAAAGUGCAGCUCUGGACUAUCAUAUCCCGUCGCCUUGCGCAACUUGACAUCAUGUCAACUCUAAUCGGCUGAAGAUACCCCAUUACAAAAUUUGAAAGAAAUAUAGCGAAAUUCGACAACCUUUGGAAUACGUCCCUCGAUAAUCUUUCAAGUGUUAAGAUUUCAUUUUGAGACGUUCGCAUGAAUUACCAGUAGCUUCACGCGGCCAAUUAGCAGGGGUGUUUGAAGAGUGUUAAACAUUGAUUGAACAGCUAGCCGCGACUGAUAUCUGCACACAAUCCGUACGAACCGCAAAAGACAAAACAAAUUAUUUCGAAUAAUCAA